CGCUGCUUUCUGCCCCGGCAGAGCUCCGGCCGCGGGACUGCUCCGUCUGGCUCGGGAUCGGGCCGACCCAGCCAGGAGGCGAGAGCAAGAGCCGCAGCGGCUUCCCGGGAUUUCAGGCGGGGAACAUUCCCGGGCCCUUUUCCCUGGAGGAGGUGAAGCGGGACCUUUCUGUCUGCAAGCGAAACUGCCCGCCCUAAGCCAGAGCAACGGGCACUCUUUAUUCCACCACACACAUAGCCGUGGAAAGGACUCUAAUCGUGCAGGCACUUAUUUUGGAAUCGAUUUUAUUCAUUCAAAAUAUUUUAUCGCUAACGUUAUUUAUUUAUUUUUAAGUUGUGCAGGUCUAUGGUAGCAUGUGCAAGAAGAUCCAACCUCUCCAUUCUGAAGGAAAUCAGCCCUGAGUGCUCACUGGAAGGACAGAUCCUGAAGCUGAGGCUCCAAUACUUUGGCCACCUCAUGAGAAGACAAGACUCCCUGGAAAAGACCCUGAUGUUGGGAAAGAUGGAGGGCACAAGGAGAAGGGGACGACAGAGGAAGACAAGGUGGUUGGAUAGUGUCUUCGAAGCUACCAGCAUGAGUUUGACCAAACUGCGGGAGGCAGUGGAAGACAGGAGUGCCUGGCGUGCUCUGGUCCAGGGGGUCACGAAGAGGCGGACACGACUAAACAACUAAACAACAACAAAUGGUAGCAUGUUAGCAUCAACGCUAAGGACCACUUCCUUGCUGCAGGGUUGCAUGAGCAUAACACAGCAGAGGGAAUAAUUUAUGUAACAGAAGAUGAAUCGCCCCACUCCUAAACCUCACCUUCUGUGACCACAUCCCCUUUUCUCCCAGGUCCAGUAUACCUGAAGGAGCGUCUCCACACCUCCAUCGUUCUGCCCUGACACUGAGGUCCAGUGCCAAGGGCCUUCUGGCGGUUCCCUAACUGUGAGAAGCCAAGUUACAGACAACCAGGAAGAGGGCCUUCUCGGUAGUGGCACCCGCCCUGUGGAACACCCUCCCACCAGAUGUCAAAGAGAAGAACAACUAC